rnacentral:rRNA from 1 species
AGAGUUGAUCCUGGCUCAGAUUGAACGCUGGCGGCAUGCCUUACACAUGCAAGUCGAACGGCAGCACGGGAGCAAUCCUGGUGGCGAGUGGCGAACGGGUGAGUAAUAUAUCGGAACGUGCCCAGUCGUGGGGGAUAACGCAGCGAAAGCUGUGCUAAUACCGCAUACGAUCUCUGGAUGAAAGCGGGGGACUCGCAAGAGCCUCGCGCGAUUGGAGCGGCCGAUAUCAGAUUAGCUAGUUGGUGGGGUAAAGGCUCACCAAGGCGACGAUCUGUAGCUGGUCUGAGAGGACGACCAGCCACACUGGAACUGAGACACGGUCCAGACUCCUACGGGAGGCAGCAGUGGGGAAUUUUGGACAAUGGGCCCAAGCCUGAUCCAGCAAUGCCGCGCGCAGGAUGAAGGCCUUCGGGUUGUAAACUGCUUUUGUACGGAACGAAGCGGUUCUCUCUAAUAAAGAGGGCUAAUGACGGUACCGUAAGAAUAAGCACCGGCUAACUACGUGCCAGCAGCCGCGGUAA